rnacentral:rRNA from 1 species
CUACGGGCCGCUCCAGUGGGAAUAUUGCACAAUGGGCGCAAGCCUGAUGCAGCCAUGCCGCGUGUAUGAAGAAGGCCUUCGGGUUGUAAAGUACUUUCAGCGGGGAGGAAGGGAGUAAAGUUAAUACCUUUGCUCAUUGACGUUACCCGCAGAAGAAGCACCGGCUAACUCCGUGCCAGCAGCCGCGGUAAUACGGAGGGUGCAAGCGUUAAUCGGAAUUACUGGGCGUAAAGCGCACGCAGGCGGUUUGUUAAGUCAGAUGUGAAAUCCCCGGGCGCAACCUGGGAACUGCAUCUGAUACUGGCAAGCUUGAGUCUCGUAGAGGGGGGUAGAAUUCCAGGUGUAGCGGUGAAAUGCGUAGAGAUCUGGAGGAAUACCGGUGGCGAAGGCGGCCCCCUGGACGAAGACUGACGCUCAGGUGCGAAAGCGUGGGGAGCAAACAGGAUUAGAUACCCCGGUAGUC